rnacentral:rRNA from 1 species
AGAGUUUGAUCAUGGCUCAGGAUGAACGCUGGCGGCGUGCCUAACACAUGCAAGUCGAACGGAUGCAGCAAUGUAUCAGUGGCGCACGGGUGAGGAACACGUAGCUAACCUGCCCCGGAGAUGGAAAUAACGGGCCGAAAGGCACGCUAAUGUCCAGUACGCUCGACGGAAGUAGAGGCCGUUGAGGAAAGGCGCAAGCCGCUCUGGGAGGGGGCUGCGGCCCAUCAGGUAGUUGGGGCGGUAACGGCGCACCAAGCCGACGACGGGUCGGGGGUCUGAGAGGAUGACCCCCCACACUGGGACUGAGACACGGCCCAGACUCCUACGGGAGGCAGCAGUGAGGGAUCUUGCACAAUGGGCGCAAGCCUGAUGCAGCGACGCCGCGUGGACGAUGACGGCUUUCGGGUUGUAAAGUCCUUUUGCCCGUGACGAGGUCGGACGGUAGCGGGAGAAGAAGCCUCGGCUAACUACGUGCCAGCCGCCGCGGUAAUAC